AAGAAUAAGAAUAUGAUGUUGGUUCAGAUUAAGCGCUAAAUAAGGACAUGACACAUGCGAAUCAUACGUUUAUUAUUGAUAAGAUAAUAAAUAUGUGGUGUAAACGUGAGUAAUUUUAUUAGGAAUAAUGAACUAUAGAAUAAGCUAAAUACUUAAUAAAUAUUUAUAUAAAAAUUUUAUUUAUAUAAUAAAAAAGAAUAUAUUAUAUAUAUUUAUCUAUAGUCAAGCCAAUAAUGGUUUAGGUAGUAGGUUUAUUAAGAGUUAAACCUAGCCAACGAUCCAUAAUCGAUAAUGAAAGUUAGAACGAUCACGUUGACUCUGAAAUAUAGUCAAUAUCUAUAAGAUACAGCAGUGAGGAAUAUUGGACAAUGAUCGAAAGAUUGAUCCAGUUACUUAUUAGGAUGAUAUAUAAAUAAUUUAUAAAAAUUUUAUAAAAAAAUAAAUAAAUAAUAUAUAUAUAUAAAUUGAUUAAAAAUAAAAUCCAUAAAUAAUUAAAAUAAUGAUAUUAAUUACCAUAUAUAAUAAUGGAUAUAUAAUAAUUAUAAUAUUUAAUAUAUUAUAAUAUAAUUAUAUAUUUUAAUAGUCCUGACUAAUAUUUGUGCCAGCAGUCGCGGUAACACAAAGAGGGCGAGCGUUAAUCAUAAUGGUUUAAAGGAUCCGUAGAAUGAAUUAAUUAUAUAAUUUAGAGUUAAUAAAUUUAAUUAAAGAAUUAUAAUAGUAAAGAUGAAAUAAUAAUAAUAAUUAUAAGACUAAUAUAUGUGAAAAUAUUAAUUAAAUAUUAACUGACAUUGAGGGAUUAAAACUAGAGUAGCGAAACGGAUUCGAUACCCGUGUAGUUCUAGUAGUAAACUAUGAAUACAAUUAUUUAUAAUAAAAAUAUAUAUAUAAAUAAUAAAUGAAAAUGAAAGUAUUCCACCUGAAGAGUACGUUAGCAAUAAUGAAACUCAAAACAAUAGACGGUUACAGACUUAAGCAGUGGAGCAUGUUAUUUAAUUCGAUAAUCCACGACUAACCUUACCAUAUUUUGAAUAUUAUAAUAAUUAUUUUAAUUAUUAUAUUACAGGCGUUACAUUGUUGUCUUUAGUUCGUGCUGCAAAGUUUUAGAUUAAGUUCAUAAACGAACAAAACUCCAUAUAUAUAAUUUUAAUUAUAUAUAAUUCUAUAUUAUUUAUUAAUAUAAAGAAAGGAAUUAAGACAAAUCAUAAUGAUCCUUAUAAUAUGGGUAAUAGACGUGCUAUAAUAAAAUGAUAAUAAAAUUAUAUAAAAUAUAUAUAAAAUAUAUUUAAUUAAUAAUAUAAAACAUUUUAAUUUUUAAUAUAUUUUUAUAUUAUAUAUUAAUAUGAAUUAUAAUCUGAAAUUCGAUUAUAUGAAAAAAGAAUUGCUAGUAAUACGUAAAUUAGUAUGUUACGGUGAAUAUUCUAACUGUUUCGCACUAAUCACUCAUCACGCGUUGAAACAUAUUAUUAUCUUAUUAUUUAUUAAUAAUUUUUAAUAACCUUUUUAUUAAUUAAUAUUAAUAUAUAUCAGAAAUAAUAUGAAUUAAUGCGAAGUUGAAAUACAGUUACCGUAGGGGAACCUGCGGUGGGCUUAUAAAUAUC
rnacentral:ncRNA from 1 species